CUGUGAUGUGGGUUCGGAAAAUUAUUUUCAAUUAUCUUUGUGAUCUCAGGGCAUAUGAUCGAGCUGCAAUUAAGUUCCGUGGAACUGAUGCAGAUAUCAAUUUUAAUAUCAGUGAUUAUAAUGAAGAUCUUCAACAGAUGAAGAAUUUGACGAAGGAAGAAUUCGUGCAUGUACUUCGUCGCCAGAGUGCCGGAUUCUCUAGGGGUACUUCAAAAUACAGGGGUGUUACACUGCACAAAUGCGGACGAUGGGAAGCUUGAAUGGGGCAGUUCCUUGGCAAGAAGUAUAUCUAUCUUGGGUUGUUCGACAGUGAGGUGGAAGCUGCAAGGGCUUAUGACAAGGCUGCAAUAAAAUGCAAUGGAAGGGAAGCGGUGACCAACUUUGAGGCAAGCACAUAUGAAGAGGAGUUAAGCUCUGAGAUUGAGAAUGGAGGUAUCA